UCGGACGUGGUGGACGGAACACAUCCAGCCCCAAUAUCUUUACUUUCACAGAAGCUUGUAGCUGGACGAUCGGGGUUCGACUCCCCGCGUCUGAA